GUUUGAAAGUGUGUAGCACUUCCCCCUUGUCUCUCUCUCUCUCUCUCUCUCUGUCUCUCUCUCCUGUCACCAUGUGAAGAUGUGCUUGCUUCCCCUUUGCCUUCUGCCAUGAUUGUAAGUUUCCUGAGGCUCCCCAGCCAUGCUCCCUGUACAGCCUGUGGAACUGCCAAGUGUCAAGGCUGUCAUCUUUAUCCUGAUCUAUUCUGAAAUUGCUUUUCUGGAAGUACUAAGCUCUACAUCCUGAAUGGAUACAUGGAGGCCGUGAAGUCCUGUUUGUAGGUAGAUAAGGGAACUUCAGGCAACAGCCUCAUCCUGUGCUUCAGGAGAGACAGAAGAUCCUGGGAGUCGGGAGGAAAGUCAGAGAGACCUUGAGGCUGCUUCAUGUCAGAGCAAGCGCCGUGUUUCCGGGAAACAACUUAUUCUUUCUGCUGUUGCUGGGUGUGGACAUUGAUUUCAGCUUUUUUGGUCCCAUGAAACACACUGCUGUGUACAUUCUUGUACAUGUCUCUAGUUGCACAUACGAGAUCUUCUAGAGUAUAGACUAACAGGUGGAAAUGCUGGAUUAUAGGACACGAAUGUGUCCAGUUGCACCAGCUAAUGCCCGAAUGACAUUUUUGUACUGAACUUUCUUUUCUUUUUCUUUCUGGUAUGUGGAAUGUUUGCACUUUCUUGGUACAAAUCUACUGUCAAUCAUGUGUUUUGCAAUUAUUCUGUCCCCCUUUGCAACAUACUUUUUUCAGUUUCCCCACGGUUGCAGAACAGUGUUUCUCAAUUUUAAUGUAGUUAAAAUCAUCAGUGUAUUGUGUCCUAGUUUGUACUUCUUGUGUCUUGUUUAAGAAAUCUCUCCCCAUCCCACAGGCAUUAAAAUAUUUUCCUGUAUUGACUUACAAAACUUGUGACUUUAUCUUUCACAUCUUAGCCUUUAAUCCAAGU
rnacentral:lncRNA from 1 species